rnacentral:rRNA from 1 species
GACGAACGCUGGCGGCGUGCUUAACACAUGCAAGUCGAACGGUGAAAGGGAGCUUGCUCCCUGGAUCAGUGGCGAACGGGUGAGUAACACGUGGGCAACCUGCCCCAGACUUCGGGAUAACGCUUCGAAAGAGGUGCUAAUACCGGAUACGAACUCCCUUGGCAUCCUGGGAGUUGGAAAGUUUUUCGGUCUGGGAUGGGCCCGCGGCCUAUCCGCUUGUUUGUGAGGUUACGGCUCACCAAGGCGACGACGGGUAGCCGGCCUGAGACGGCGACAGGCCACACUGGGACGGAGUCACGGCCCAGACUCCUACAGGAGGCAGCAGUGGGGAAUAUUGCGCAAUGGGCGAAAGCCUGACGCAGCAACGCCGCGGGAGGGAUGACGGCCUUCGGGUUGUAAACCUCUUUCAGCAGGGAAGAAGCGAAAGUGACGGUACUUGAGGAGGAAGCCCCGGCUAACUACGUGCCAGCCGCCGCAGUAA